GCUCCUCUGAACUGGCUCCUCUGAACUGGCUCCUGGGUGUGACUGAACCCAGCGCUGGCUGGGAGCGGUACUUGGAGGUAUCACGCGGCUCAGCGGGCAGUGAGGAGGCGGCUUGUGCUUCAUCCAGCCCAGCGUUUCUCAUGAUAUACUCUGCGUUUAAGUUAAAUAAGCGAGGUGGCAAGAUAUUCAAUAGCCCUUGCAUUGUGUAUUUUUCUUUCUAUCGCACUGUCAUUUCAAAGGCCUUCGUAUAUCCUUCCCCUGCUGCUGCUGCUGCUGCUGCUGAGUCACUUCAGUCGUGUCCGACUCUGUGCAACCCCAUAGACGGCAGCCCACCAGG